rnacentral:tRNA from 1 species
GGAGGCGUCGGAUAGCGGUUUAUUCCACCGCCUUGGAAAGGCGGCAGGCUCGAAAGGGUCUCGAGAGUUCGAAUCUCUCCGCCUCCGCCA